CCUACGGGUGGCAGCAGUGAGGAAUAUUGGUCAAUGGACGAGAGUCUGAACCAGCCAAGUAGCGUGAAGGAUGACUGCCCUAUGGGUUGUAAACUUCUUUUAUAUGGGAAUAAAAUGUUCCACGUGUGGGAUUUUGUAUGUACCAUAUGAAUAAGGAUCGGCUAACUCCGUGCCAGCAGCCGCGGUAAUACGGAGGCUCCGAGCGUUAUCCGGAUUUAUUGGGUUUAAAUGGAGCGUAGGUGGAUUGUUAAGUCAGUUGUGAAAGUUUGCGGCUCAACCGUAAAAUUGCAGUUGAAACUGGCAGUCUGGAGUACAGUAGAGGUGGGCGGAAUUCGUGGUGUAGCGGUGAAAUGCUUAGAUAUCACGAAGAACUCCGAUUGCGAAGGCAGCUCACUGGACUGCAACUGACACUGAGGCUCGAAAGUGUGGGUAUCAAACAGGAUUAGAUACCCCAGUAGUC
rnacentral:rRNA from 1 species